UCGAGAAUCAUUCGCAAUGGGGGAAACCCUGACGAUGCGACGCCGCGUGGAGGAUGACGGCCCUCGGGUUGUAAACUCCUGUCAAGAGGGAAUAAGCAAGUGAAGGUACCUCUAGAGGAAGGGGCGGCUAAUUCCGUGCCAGCAGCCGCGGUAACACGGAAGCCCCGAGCGUUGUUCGGAUUCAUUGGGCGUAAAGGGUGCGUAGGCGGCGCGGAAAGUCCGGCGUGAAAGGCAGAGGCUCAACCUCUGGACUGCGUUGGAUACUUCCGUGCUUGAGGACUGGAGGGGAGACUGGAAUUCACGGUGUAGCAGUGAAAUGCGUAGAUAUCGUGAGGAAGACCGGUGGCGAAGGCGAGUCUCUGGACAGAUCCUGACGCUGAGGCACGAAGGCUGGGGGAGCGAACA
rnacentral:rRNA from 1 species